ACGCUGGCGGCGUGCCUAAUACAUGCAAGUAGAACGCUGAAGAGAGGAGCUUGCUCUUCUUGGAUGAGUUGCGAACGGGUGAGUAACGCGUAGGUAACCUGCCUUGUAGCGGGGGAUAACUAUUGGAAACGGUAGCUAAUACCGCACAACAAUGGAUGACACAUGUCAUUUAUUUGAAAGGGGCAAUUGCUCCACUACAAGAUGGACCUGCGUUGUAUUAGCUAGUAGGUGAGGUAACGGCUCACCUAGGCGACGAUACAUAGCCGACCUGAGAGGGUGAUCGGCCACACUGGGACUGAGACACGGCCCAGACUCCUACGGGAGGCAGCAGUAGGGAAUCUUCGGCAAUGGGGGCAACCCUGACCGAGCAACGCCGCGUGAGUGAAGAAGGUUUUCGGAUCGUAAAGCUCUGUUGUAAGUCAAGAACGAGUGUGAGAGUGGAAAGUUCACACUGUGACGGUAGCUUACCAGAAAGGGACGGCUAACUACGUGCCAGCAGCCGCGGUAAUACGUAGGUCCCGAGCGUUGUCCGGAUUUAUUGGGCGUAAAGCGAGCGCAGGCGGUUUGAUAAGUCUGAAGUUAAAGGCUGUGGCUCAACCAUAGUUCGCUUUGGAAACUGUCAAACUUGAGUGCAGAAGGGGAGAGUGGAAUUCCAUGUGUAGCGGUGAAAUGCGUAGAUAUAUGGAGGAACACCGGUGGCGAAAGCGGCUCUCUGGUCUGUAACUGACGCUGAGGCUCGAAAGCGUGGGGAGCGAACAGGAUUAGAUACCCUGGUAGUCCACGCCGUAAACGAUGAGUGCUAGGUGUUGGAUCCUUUCCGGGAUUCAGUGCCGCAGCUAACGCAUUAAGCACUCCGCCUGGGGAGUACGACCGCAAGGUUGAAACUCAAAGGAAUUGACGGGGGCCCGCAC
rnacentral:rRNA from 1 species